rnacentral:rRNA from 1 species
AAUCAACGCUGGCGGCGUGCCUCAGACAUGCAAGUCGAACGCGAAAGUCCCCUUCGGGGGCGAAGUAGAGUGGCGCACGGGUGAGUAACACGUAGGUAAUCUACCUUUGGAGUGGGGAAUAACAACCGGAAACGGUUGCUAAUACCGCAUAAUGCAGCGGCACCUAAUGGUGACAGUUGUUAAAGCGGGGGAUCGAAAGACCUCGCGUCUAAAGAGGAGCCUGCGGCGGAUUAGCUAGNGGUUAAGGUAAUGGCUUACCAAGGCUACGAUCCGUAACCGGCCUGAGGAGGGCGGUCGGUCACACUGACACUGACAUACGGGUCAGACUCCUAC